GACGAACGCUGGCGGCGCGCCUAACACAUGCAAGUCGAACGGAGUCAAGAGGAGCUUGCUUUUCUUGACUUAGUGGCGAACGGGUGAGUAACGCGUGAGUAACCUGCCCUGGAGUGGGGGACAACAGUUGGAAACGACUGCUAAUACCGCAUAAGCCCACGGAUCUGCAUGGAUCUGCGGGAAAAGGAUUUAUUCGCUCUAGGAUGGACUCGCGUCCAAUUAGCUAGUUGGUGAGGUAACGGCCCACCAAGGCGACGAUUGGUAGCCGGACUGAGAGGUUGAACGGCCACAUUGGGACUGAGACACGGCCCAGACUCCUACGGGAGGCAGCAGUGGGGGAUACUGCACAAUGGGGGAAACCCUGAUGCAGCGACGCCGCUUGGAGGAAGAAGGUUUUCGGAUUGUAAACUCCUGUCGUUAGGGACGAUAAUGACGGUACCUAACAAGAAAGCACCAGCUAACUACGUG
rnacentral:rRNA from 1 species